AGCGACAGUGGAAAGGAAUACUCCCCUUUAACAGGAAAAAGACUUGAGUAGAACCCAACUCAGUGUGAGCGGUCAUCUGCAAUGAAUGACUGUGGGUUUGAGACAGAGCAUACACACAAAUCGAAAAAGACAGAAGCACUAAUCACAGACACUCUGUGAGCCAGUUUUCAAGUCUAUAGAAUGAAAGAGGGCACAUGUAGUUAGUCGCAGUAAAAGCUCAGUCAAAAGCUUUGUCUAGGAAAUAGGGUUAAACACUAAAAAACUGUCAGGAUCUGUGCCAUGUCUGUCUGUUUGGUGCUGUUACUGUUCUUAGCCUCUAGAUUGCGUUGGAACCGGAGGAGAGGUGACAGGUGUUCUCUAUCUUCUUGAUGAUCUGCUGAGGAGUAUUUAAGGAGGAGGCUGCCAGCAACUCACUGCCAGAGUGGUGCCCUUUGUGGUUACCUGAACCUGACUUUGCCUUCCGCAUCGAACCCUGCCUGGAUUACCGUCUUCUGGAAAGAAACUAUCCAGCUCCAUGAACCAUGACUCAAGCCUCCUGUUACCUCAUUGGAUCAAACCAGCUGGCAGUCUCCUGAUUCCUUCGUUCCGUGGAUGUCCUUCUGCGAACCCUGUCCACCAUCCUCCUUCCAUUGCACCAACUACAGAAACUCUUGGACCAUCUAUCAUCCUGGCACACCAGUAUUCACAGUCUCCAGUCCCACGGCAAAAACAAACUAACCAGCAGAUCGAACAACUAACCUCCUUGUUUCAGCACACCCUGAGCAACUUCACUGCCCCGGCCUUAGAGGGCGUUACGGCCUCUCCGGUCUCUUUGCAACUUCCGCA